UGCCCUCUUUUCUCCCCUGCAGACCAACAAGUUGAUCAAUUUGUUGGUCACCUUCCAAGAGUCAUCAUUCCUAUAGCUUCAGGAGGCAAUACCAAAUCCCAUUCCAGUGAAUAUAUCUUGAGUCAUUUCAAUGCAUUUUCACAAGAACAAGAUGUGGCCUCUGUUUGAAAUACUGGAUCAGAAGAUACUUGCAUUACAAAUUCUUCUAAUAUAUUUUCAGUAAAUGAAACAACAGUGAGCAUGCUGUCUGCAGAUUUCCUGCCACCGAAAAUUCAGGCUCCCCAGUUUUUCCUUCAACACACUGGCAUCUGCUGUUGAUGACUGCUCA